AAAUUGAAGAGUUUGAUCAUGGCUCAGAUUGAACGCUGGCGGCAGGCCUAACACAUGCAAGUCGAGCGGUAGCACAGAGAGCUUGCUCUCGGGUGACGAGCGGCGGACGGGUGAGUAAUGUCUGGGAAACUGCCUGAUGGAGGGGGAUAACUACUGGAAACGGUAGCUAAUACCGCAUAACGUCGCAAGACCAAAGUGGGGGACCUUCGGGCCUCAUGCCAUCAGAUGUGCCCAGAUGGGAUUAGCUAGUAGGUGGGGUAACGGCUCACCUAGGCGACGAUCCCUAGCUGGUCUGAGAGGAUGACCAGCCACACUGGAACUGAGACACGGUCCAGACUCCUACGGGAGGCAGCAGUGGGGAAUAUUGCACAAUGGGCGCAAGCCUGAUGCAGCCAUGCCGCGUGUGUGAAGAAGGCCUUCGGGUUGUAAAGCACUUUCAGCGGGGAGGAAGGCGUUAAGGUUAAUAACCUUGGCGAUUGACGUUACCCGCAGAAGAAGCACCGGCUAACUCCGUGCCAGCAGCCGCGGUAAUACGGAGGGUGCAAGCGUUAAUCGGAAUUACUGGGCGUAAAGCGCACGCAGGCGGUCUGUCAAGUCGGAUGUGAAAUCCCCGGGCUCAACCUGGGAACUGCAUUCGAAACUGGCAGGCUAGAGUCUUGUAGAGGGGGGUAGAAUUCCAGGUGUAGCGGUGAAAUGCGUAGAGAUCUGGAGGAAUACCGGUGGCGAAGGCGGCCCCCUGGACAAAGACUGACGCUCAGGUGCGAAAGCGUGGGGAGCAAACAGGAUUAGAUACCCUGGUAGUCCACGCCGUAAACGAUGUCGAUUUGGAGGUUGUGCCCUUGAGGCGUGGCUUCCGGAGCUAACGCGUUAAAUCGACCGCCUGGGGAGUACGGCCGCAAGGUUAAAACUCAAAUGAAUUGACGGGGCCCGCACAAGCGGUGGAGCAUGUGGUUUAAUUCGAUGCAACGCGAAGAACCUUACCUGGUCUUGACAUCCACAGAACUUUCCAGAGAUGGAUUGGUGCCUUCGGGAACUGUGAGACAGGUGCUGCAUGGCUGUCGUCAGCUCGUGUUGUGAAAUGUUGGGUUAAGUCCCGCAACGAGCGCAACCCUUAUCCUUUGUUGCCAGCGGUCCGGCCGGGAACUCAAAGGAGACUGCCAGUGAUAAACUGGAGGAAGGUGGGGAUGACGUCAAGUCAUCAUGGCCCUUACGACCAGGGCUACACACGUGCUACAAUGGCAUAUACAAAGAGAAGCGACCUCGCGAGAGCAAGCGGACCUCAUAAAGUAUGUCGUAGUCCGGAUUGGAGUCUGCAACUCGACUCCAUGAAGUCGGAAUCGCUAGUAAUCGUAGAUCAGAAUGCUACGGUGAAUACGUUCCCGGGCCUUGUACACACCGCCCGUCACACCAUGGGAGUGGGUUGCAAAAGAAGUAGGUAGCUUAACCUUCGGGAGGGCGCUUACCACUUUGUGAUUCAUGACUGGGGUGAAGUCGUAACAAGGUAACCGUAGGGGAACCUGCGGUUGGAUCACCUCCUUA
rnacentral:rRNA from 1 species